UUUCUUGAUUUGUUAUUGGUUCGUGCGAUAUGACGUCAUCGUUGGCCAAUCACAGCUAUCAAUGUAUGACGCGACGUUGAUUCGUUAACAAAUAUAAAAAAUUAAUUGUUUAGAGAAAUUUAAAUAAUGCAUUUGUAAUGUAUCGCGAGUAGUUAAGCUAAGAUAGGUAGAGGAACUCACGACCUAAGUAAAAAACUACUAGUCUGUUGACCAACAUCGAGGCAAACAUCCACCUUGAGACAAAAGAGACAAAGGGUCUCGCCAAAAUCCGAAAUUUUUAUAGAUAUUAACUUCAUAGAAGAAAAUAAAUAAUCUUUACGUUAUAGUUCGCAAUAUAAAUUUUACUUCUAAAUAAUUAAAAACAA